UACAGAGGUCUCAAGCGUUGUUCGGAUUCAUUGGGCGUAAAGGGUGUGUAGGUGGCGCGCUAAGUCGGGUGUGAAAUUUCGGAGCUUAACUCCGAAACUGCAUUCGAUACUGGCGUGCUUGAGGACUGGAGAGGAGACUGGAAUUCAUGGUGUAGCAGUGAAAUGCGUAGAGAUCUGGAAGAACACCAAAGGCGAAGGCAGCAUCCUGGGAAGUUCCUGACGCUCGGGUGCGAAAGCCAGGGGAGCGAACGGG
rnacentral:rRNA from 1 species